UGUGGAUUAUUUGUGUUGGAAUAUAUUACCCCAGUGAAGAAAGAGACGCGUCUAAAGAUUGUUAAUUACCAAGCCUUGGGUGUGGGGAUAAGACCUGGGCUGGUGUGGUGGUGUUCCAGGAUCUAAAUAUGCUGAGGGAUCCGCCUGGCAGCUAGAAGUUGGAGUUGCUGAUCAGGAAGUUAGUCCAGGGGUGAAGCUCCUGUGUGACCUUAACUAAAGCAUUCCUCAAAGACACUUCAAUGUGAGUGAUAGAGGAUAUUUAAGGGUGAGAGGUA